rnacentral:rRNA from 1 species
GACGAACGCUGGCGGCGUGCUUAACACAUGCCAGUCGAACGGAAAGGCCCUGCUUUUGUGGGGUGCUCGAGUGGCGAACGGGUGAGUAACACGUGAGUAACCUGCCCUUGACUUUGGGAUAACUUCAGGAAACUGGGGCUAAUACCGGAUAGGAGCUCCUGCUGCAUGGUGGGGGUUGGAAAGUUUCGGCGGUUGGGGAUGGACUCGCGGCUUAUCAGCUUGUUGGUGGGGUAGUGGCUUACCAAGGCUUUGACGGGUAGCCGGCCUGGGAGGGUGACCGGCCACGUUGGGACUGAGAUACGGCCCAGACUCCUACGGGAGGGAGCAGUGGGGAAUAUUGCACAAUGGGCGGAAGCCUGAUGCAGCACCGCCGCGUGCGGGAUGACGGCCUUCGGGUUGUAAACCGCUUUCGCCUGUGACGAAGCGUGAGUGACGGUAAUGGGUAAAGAAGCACCGGCUAACUACGUG